AUUGAACGCUGGCGGCAGGCUUAACACAUGCAAGUCGAGCGGGGAAAGGUAGCUUGCUACCUGACCUAGCGGCGGACGGGUGAGUAAUGCUUAGGAAUCUGCCUAUUAGUGGGGGACAACAUCUCGAAAGGGAUGCUAAUACCGCAUACGUCCUACGGGAGAAAGCAGGGGACCUUCGGGCCUUGCGCUAAUAGAUGAGCCUAAGUCGGAUUAGCUAGUUGGUGGGGUAAAGGCCUACCAAGGCGACGAUCUGUAGCGGGUCUGAGAGGAUGAUCCGCCACACUGGGACUGAGACACGGCCCAGACUCCUACGGGAGGCAGCAGUGGGGAAUAUUGGACAAUGGGGGGAACCCUGAUCCAGCCAUGCCGCGUGUGUGAAGAAGGCCUUUUGGUUGUAAAGCACUUUAAGCGAGGAGGAGGCUACCGAGAUUAAUACUCUUGGAUAGUGGACGUUACUCGCAGAAUAAGCACCGGCUAACUCUGUGCCAGCAGCCGCCGCAGUA
rnacentral:rRNA from 1 species